rnacentral:rRNA from 1 species
GACGAACGCUGGCGGCGUGCCUAAUACAUGCAAGUAGAACGCUGAAGGAGGAGCUUGCUUCUCUGGAUGAGUUGCGAACGGGUGAGUAACGCGUAGGUAACCUGCCUGGUAGCGGGGGAUAACUAUUGGAAACGAUAGCUAAUACCGCAUAAUAGCAGUUAUUGCAUGAUAACUGUUUGAAAGGUGCAAUUGCACCACUACCAGAUGGACCUGCGUUGUAUUAGCUAGUUGGUGGGGUAACGGCUCACCAAGGCGACGAUACAUAGCCGACCUGAGAGGGUGAUCGGCCACACUGGGACUGGGACACGGCCCAGACUCCUACGGGAGGCAGCAGUAGGGAAUCUUCGGCAAUGGACGGAAGUCUGACCGAGCAACGCCGCGUGAGUGAAGAAGGUUUUCGGAUCGUAAAGCUCUGUUGUAAGAGAAGAACGAGUGUGAGAGUGGAAAGUUCACACUGUGACGGUAUCUUACCAGAAAGGGACGGCUAACUACGUG